AACGAACGCUGGCGGCAGGCCUAACACAUGCAAGUCGAACGCUCGUAGCAAUACGAGAGUGGCAGACGGGUGAGUAACACGUGGGAACCUUCCCUAUGGUUCGGAAUAGCUCAGGGAAACUUGAGGUAAUACCGGAUAAGCCCUUCGGGGGAAGAUUUAUCGCCAUUGGAUGGGCCCGCGUCGGAUUAGCUAGUUGGUGAGGUAACGGCUCACCAAGGCGACGAUCCGUAGCUGGUCNGAGAGGAUGAUCAGCCACACUGGGACUGAGACACGGCCCAGACUCCUACGGGAGGCAGCAGUGGGGAAUAUUGGACAAUGGGCGCAAGCCUGAUCCAGCCAUGCCGCGUGAGUGACGAAGGUCUUCGGAUU
rnacentral:rRNA from 1 species